UACGGGGGGGGCAAGCGUUGUUCGGAAUUACUGGGCGUAAAGCGUGCGUAGGUGGUUCGUUAAGUCCGUUGUGAAAGCCCCGAGCUCAACUUGGGAAAUUGCAGUGGAUACUGGCGAGCUUGAGUGCCGGAGAGGGUCGCGGAAUUCCCGGUGUAGAGGUGAAAUUCGUAGAUAUCGGGAGGAACACCAGUGGCGAAGGCGGCGACCUGGACGGACACUGACGCUGAGACGCGAAAGCGUGGGGAGCAAACAGG
rnacentral:rRNA from 1 species